rnacentral:sRNA from 1 species
GAGUGUUGCCACUUUUCUACAUUUUAAAUCCUAGCAUCAGAGGUUUGUUCAUAUGUAGCAGGAGGUCAUCUGAAGUAGCAGGUCCUCCUUUUUUAGUUUUUUCUUAGGAGUUGGGUGAUAGAUAUAUGGUGUGUCAUAGUCGUUUGGGAGUCCGGCAUCGGAAACCUCCUUUAAUGCUUGGAUUUGUGGUUUUGCAGGUAUGGGCGGAGCUGCCAUUGCCCCACCCACUUCUCUGGUAGAGAAAGACAAAGAGUUACCCCGAGAUUUUCCUUAUGAAGAGGACUCAAGACCUCGAUCACAGUCUUCCAAAGCAGCCAUUCCUCCCCCAGUGUACGAGGAACAAGACAGACCGAGAUCUCCAACCGGACCUAGCAACUCCUUCCUCGCUAACAUGGGGGGCACGGUGGCGCACAAGAUCAUGCAGAAGUACGGCUUCCGGGAGGGCCAGGGUCUGGGGAAGCAUGAGCAGGGCCUGAGCACUGCCUUGUCAGUGGAGAAGACCAGCAAGCGUGGCGGCAAGAUCAUCGUGGGCGACGCCACAGAGAAAGGUGUGUCCCCAGGGAAGCGUGUGACUAGAGGGAAAGGACUGGCCCCAUCCGUAUCAGACAUG